rnacentral:tRNA from 1 species
GCAUGAGUGGCGGAACUGGUAGACGCAGCGGACUUAAAAUCCGCUGGCCCGUAAGGGCCGUCCGGGUUCGAUCCCCGGCUCGUGCA